rnacentral:tRNA from 1 species
CAAAAAAUAGUUUAAUUAAAAUGCUAGUUUUGGGGACUAGAGAUAGGUGUAAGCACUUUUUUUUGA